rnacentral:rRNA from 1 species
CUACGGGAGGCUCCAGUCGCGAAAACUUUACAAUGCACGCAAGUGUGAUAAGGGGAUUCCAAGUGCUUUACUUUUAGUAAGGCUUUUGCCAAGUCUAAAAAGCUUGGCGAAUAAGUGGUGGGUAAGACCGGUGCCAGCCGCCGCGGUAACACCGGCGCCACAAGUGGGGACCAUAUUUAUUGGGUCUAAAGCAUCUGUAGCUGGCUAGAUAACUCUCUUGUGAAAUCAUUAUACUUAAUAUAAUGGCGCGCAAGAGAAACUAUUUGGCUUGGGACAGGGAGAGGGCAGAAGUAUUCCAGGGGAAGCGGUAAAAUGUGAUAAUCCUUGGAAGACUACCAAUGGCGAAGGCAUCUGCCUAGAACUGGUCCGACAGUGAGGGAUGAAGGCUAGGGGAGCGAUCCGGAUUAGAUACCCGUGUAGUC